AUGAAACUGAAGAGCUGGAAGGAGGACAUUACAACAUCUCUUAUAUUUGCAAGAUGAAGCAGAAAGUCCCAUGCAGUGGAUGAUGAAGGCAUUCUGGUUUGCAAACUCAGGAGAGGAACAAAGAACAGAUGUUGACGGGAUCAUCUAGAGAUGCGGGCCUACUACACUUCAUACGAGCAAGUGUGCUAAUAUACAUGAAGACUUGGGUUAUAUUUUUUUCUGAAAACUAGGCUACAACUUUAGUGAUGAAUGCAGAAGAUAUCUACACGAGACUACGUCUUAAAGAUGCCACCUUCAUGUAAUGAAAGAGGACAAAAGAGAUGGGUUUAAACUGGAAUAUUUACAUGAUAUUUAUUUGUUAUUUGUAUUAUAUGUUUGUAGAAUACUACAUUCAAGAAAGCUAAUGAAGUUUAUCAUCUUGUCGACUUUCAAAUAAUUAAAGAUAACUAAUCCUCAACGAAUAAACAUUAAAAUUCUAACAAUGUCAACUACCAUCUUAUAGGAUGAAACUGAGGACUGGGCAGGAAGAUUCUCCUUCAAAUUUGAGUGAUAAAGGUCUAUCAGUCUAUA
rnacentral:lncRNA from 1 species